AACGGUAGCUAAUACCGCAUAACGUCGCARGACCAAAGAGGGGGACCUUCGGGCCUCUUGCCAUCAGAUGUGCCCAGAUGGGAUUAGCUAGUAGGUGGGGUAAUGGCUCACCUAGGCAACRAUSCCUAGMUGGUCUGAGAGGAUGACCAGCCACACUGGAACUGAGACACGGUCCAKACUCCUACGGGAGGCAGCAGUGGGGAAUAUUGCACAAUGGGCGCAAGCCUGAUGCAGCCRUGCCGCGUGUGUGAAGAAGGCCUUCGGGUUGUAAAGCACUUUCAGCGAGRAGGAAGGUGGUGAACUUAAUACGUUCAUCAAUUGACGUUACUCGCAAAAAAAGCACCGGCCAACUCCGUGCCAGCASCCGSGRGUAAUAMA
rnacentral:rRNA from 1 species